GGGGCGGUCCUGGGCACGGACCUGUGUCCCAACAACCUUUGGCAAUACUAUUCCUGGUGUUAUAUAUAUCUUCCUGACGGUGCAAGGUUCUAUACUUUUGGGCUAGCUGCCAUCUGUUGUGCUAUUUGGAAUUGCCGCAACAGGGCGACCUUUGAAUUUAAGCUCCCCAAAACUCCUUUUGAGAUUGUAUUCUCCGCAUGUGUAUUCAUCACCGACUGGGCAGGUCUUCUGAAGGGGACAGACCAUGAGGCAAUGGAGCGGGGGUCACAGAUGUUGAGGAACAACACAAGCAACAUGAUGAGGAUCUGCGUUGCAGCGACGGAGGAUCCAACGACAACUUGA
rnacentral:rRNA from 1 species